GCCAUGCUUUAGUCACUUGGUUAUUUUUUUUUUAAGGGAAACUGGUCUCCUAUGGAGACUGUAAUUGUUUUUCUUUUUUCCUUUCUUUCCUUUUCUUUCCAUUUCCCUUGCUUUCCUUUUCUUUCCUUUGAUUAGAGCAGUUUAGUAAUUCAGACCCACACUCCAUUUCAGAAGGUGGCGGUAAUGCACACCAAAAGUUGCUUGCCAACCGAAAAAUAGCAGGGAGAAGAAGUUCGAAACAAAGUGGCUCAAAAGAAAGAAUCAACGGGUUGCCUGGCAAAGCUUUUACUGGAGCAAUUACUGGAAUUUAAAAUAAGAUUUGGGAUUUGAGCUGGCUGUAUGAUAAGGUUGCUGUUGCAACAGUCUUGAUCCAUAAGAGCAGUCGACCAUCGCAAUGGAAAGGAAGAGGAAAUCAACUGCUCUGAGGGAAGUGAGCACAGAGCCAUGGAACCUGACUCCUCAAAGUGAUGGUCCCCAAGAUGGAUCCAAGCGUUCGCGUUACAGAGAUAACCCGGAGUACAGAGAGAAACAAAAACAGCAUCUGAACUCACUGUACCACACUGACCCAGCCUUCAGAGAGAAGAAGCUAGAGUCCGCAAGAUUAUACCGGCAGAAGAAAAAGGCAAGACUAUUAGAGCAGGAGGCAAAGAGUAAGGAGAACGAGGGAAAGGAUGGAGGGCAGCCCACAGAGCCCCAAGUUGGAUCCAAGCGGAGGGCGGAUUACAUUGAGAAGUCACUGUAUAAGACCGACCCAGUCUACAGAAAGUUAUGGAUAGAGUACGUAAGAAUAUCCCACCAGUUGAAAAAGAUGGACGAAAAACGCAAAAGUGCAUCUACUGCAAAAAAGCAAAAGUGAGGUGAUACAGGUUUUGAUGGACUGUUCAUCAUUUUUGGAAUAGGUGUGUUUUGGACCGUUUUUCUUUGCACAGUUUC